CAAAUGCAGAUUUUGGGAUCUCUGUGGUACACAAUGCAUUGAACAGAAGAAGGAAACUAGAGACUGGCAUCAGCAGCUCCAUGGCUCCAUACCCUGAUUUAGGAUCCUUUUUCUCUGGAAGGAUGGGAGGCUCUGACCUCCCCAUAGCAGUCACUUGAUUCUUACUGGCAAGCAGUUGAUAUUGCUUUGUAACAGACACCUGCUUUAGAAGACAUGGAUUUCCUACUGUCCUUAGUCCACUGGUCAUUGCCAUGGUCUACCCUACCCAGCCUCUGCUUUAGGAAUGAACAUUUGACCUAUUCUGGUCAAAUAACCCAGAAGGGGCUUGUGCUAAUGAGCUUACAGAAAGUGUUCUUCACUUCUAACAAGGGGCUCAAGUACAGGCUGCACUCCCUCCCUUGGAAUUUUCCUGGUCAAGAUGGACAGCUAUCUUGUGAUGAGGAGGAUCCAGGCAAAGGGAUAACUAGCUCACUGGAUCUGGCCUGUGAGAAGACAAAAAACGCCAUGCUGAUAUUGGAAACUGCUAAACUUACCUGUUCCUUAUUGUCAAGCAGUUGAUGUAGGUUUCUGAUUACGGCAGAAAGCAUUUUUGCCUGACAGAGUGGGUGGUGUGUGAAUAGAUCUCUCUCCAAAGCUUUAUCCUAAGGAUACUUUUCUCUGCACUGAGCUCCCAACAGGUGAGAUAAAGAACUAAUGAGCCUGGAGGUCAGGGGGAUCUUCAAGCCCUGAGGGUUCCCUGCGUCACUGGGGUCAACUGUUUAAGAGUUGGAAGAUGGUGGGACUGUUGGGCUGAUGGUUAAAAGAGAGCAGAGCCCAUUGCAGAAGUGAAAUGUGGAGGAACCCCAGAGGGAGCCCCUUUUGGAGAAACCACAAAGUCUAUUCUGCAGAGCUUAUGCCUCCCAUAUGAUGAACCAUUAAGCCUAUUUGUGGAGUCCCACUGGGGAGGGAAAAGCCCAGCGCAGACAAGUUUUUCAGACCACUCAGUUCAAAGAUUGCCAGGAACCAGUGGCCAG
rnacentral:lncRNA from 1 species